GCUGAAUUAGUUUAGUGGAAAAAUCGGUGAAUGGUAAUCACCUGCCCCGAGUUCGAUUCUCGGAUUCAGCACCA
rnacentral:tRNA from 2 species